CGCUCGCAGCUGGGGCGCGUGCCCGGAACGGAACUUCGCCGCCUCUGCGACGUGCGAGCGGCAGCACCACGCGCCCAUUAGCGACAGCAACCGGGGGAGGGGCUAUCAACGUGAGUGUGCGCGUGUCCCAGAGCCGCCCUGCGGACCGCUGCCUUCCCUCGCCAGGGGCCGUGGGCAAGCUGCUGUGUAUGAUGCGCGCCGCCGCCGCCGCCGCCGCUGCUGCCUGUCUCCAUGCCUUGCGGCUGUUAACGCCUCGCUGCAUAUCCCGGGGCGUGUGUGUUCGAUCCUCUGCAGAAGUGUGUCCGUCAUGGCAAUUCAUUACUACUGCACAUGUGGGUGUCUGCCAUUGCAUUAUCAUGACUGCUGCAGGGCCUCUCUCUGGGCAAAAAAGGUGUCUCUGUCCAUUGCCCUACUUCUGCAAACCAAAGCUCCGGGGGAGUGGGCGGGGCGGGGCGGGGACGGACAGAGAGACGGGGAACGACGCUCUCGUCUCUGUGCUUGUAGUAACAGCCAUUGUAGGGGGUUGUAUUUGUGUUUAGCUCCCACAUUACUUCUCUCACAGGGGAUGGGGAGUUUGCGCAAGGACAAUGGGUAGGCUGCCUGCUGUGGCCUUUGUGUAAUUAUUUAAACUUUUAGUUAUAUCAUUAGUGAUGGGCCUUGCUGCCUUCCUGGUAAUUUUGGAAAAAAUAUGCUCUCCUUCAGCACCACCGCUGUUUCUGCCCGUAGUUUCUCAUUCUUCUCCAUCUCCUCUUUUUUUCCUCUUUCUUUCUCUUGUCUCCCCUCUACCUCCUUUCUCCACCUGGUACUUCCCUCCCUGCAGCAGCCCCUAAUUCCCCUUCCUAUUUGUAAAAGUAGCCACUGGAAUCAGAGGAUUCGGACCCCACUAUCUUGUAUCUUUUGCAACCUUGACUCAGUUGACAAUACUGGGUCCAGCAAAUAAAGUUCAUUUUCCUACCGACACUCCUGUGUGACGCACUUUUUCUGUGUCAUAGAUUUCACUUCCACUCACUUCCUCAUCCUCUUCUGUUACAGGCAAUAAAAUGUUUUAAUGCUUA